rnacentral:rRNA from 1 species
GACGAACGCUGGCGGCGUGCUUAACACAUGCAAGUCGAACGGAAAGGCCUUUUCGGAGGUACUCGAGUGGCGAACGGGUGAGUAACACGUGGGUGAUCUGCCCUGCACUCUGGGAUAAGCCUGGGAAACUGGGUCUAAUACCGGAUAGGACCGCACUUUAGUGUGUGUGGUGGAAAGUUUUUUCGGUGUAGGAUGAGCCCGCGGCCUAUCAGCUUGUUGGUGGGGUAAUGGCCUACCAAGGCGGCGACGGGUAGCCGGACUGAGAGGUUGGUCGGCCACAUUGGGACUGAGAUACGGCCCAGACUCCGACGGGAGGCAGCAGUGGGGAAUAUUGCACAAUGGGCGCAAGCCUGAUGCAGCGACGCCGCGUGGGGGAUGACGGCCUUCGGGUUGGAAACUCCUUUCGCCAGGGACGAAGCGUUUUGUGACGGUACCUGGAGAAGAAGCACCGGCUAACUACGUG